rnacentral:rRNA from 1 species
CAAAAACAUCGCUAGAUGUCUUAAAUAUUUAGUUGUUUCUGCUCAAUGGUUUAAACUAAAUAGCCGCAGUACCCUGACUGUGCAAAGGUAGCAUAAUCAUUUGGCUUAUAAUUGAAGUCUGGCAUGAAAGAAUUGAUGGAUAACCGCUGUCUUUUGCGAUUAUUAAGAAUUUGCUAAGUAGGUGAAAAUACCUACAUAAAAAUAAUAGACGAGAAGACCCUAGAAAUUUUAUAUAAAAUAAUAUUAAUUAUUAUGAUUAUUUUGUUGGGGCGACAGAAUAACAGAUAACUUAUUUUAUUUAAUGGGAACUAUAUAUUGUGGAAAGUUAAAUUACUCUAGGGAUAACAGCAUAAUUUAUUAGAGUUUGUGACCUCGAUGUUGGACUAGGGUUUGUCGUGUUUAGAAGAUACUACAACAAGCUCUGUUCGAGCAAAUAACCCUACGUGAUCU